GUGCUCACUUCGGCAGCACAUAUACUAAAAUUGGAACCAUACAGAGAAGAUUAGCAUGGCCCCUGCUCAAGGAUGACACACAAAUUCUUGAAGCGUUCCAUAUUAAA
rnacentral:snRNA from 1 species